rnacentral:rRNA from 1 species
UACGUAGGGUGCAAGCGUUGUCCGGAAUUAUUGGGCGUAAAGAGCUCGUAGGCGGCUUGUCGCGUCUGCUGUGAAAACUCGGGGCUUAACCCCGGGCCUGCAGUGGGUACGGGCAGACUAGAGUGCGGUAGGGGAGACUGGAAUUCCUGGUGUAGCGGUGGAAUGCGCAGAUAUCAGGAGGAACACCGGUGGCGAAGGCGGGUCUCUGGGCCGUAACUGACGCUGAGGAGCGAAAGCGUGGGGAGCGAACAGG